rnacentral:rRNA from 1 species
UGCGUAGGCGGUUAACUAAGUUUGGUGUGAAAUCUCCCGGCUUAACUGGGAGGGUGCGCCGAAAACUGGCUAGCUAGAGUGUGGGAGAGGAUAGUGGAAUUCCUGGUGUAGCGGUGAAAUGCGUAGAUAUCAGGAGGAACACCUGCGGUGUAGACGGCUAUCUGGACCAUGACUGACGCUGAGGCACGAAAGCGUGGGUAGCAAACA